GGCCUGUGGUUCAGUGGUAGCACCUCUUUCUCAAAGUGGAGAGGUUGCGGGUUCGAAACACGUCAGCAACU